AUUGAACGCUGGCGGCAGGCCUAACACAUGCAAGUCGAGCGAGCGGCGGACGGGUGAGUAAUGUAUGGGGACUGCCCGAUAGAGGGGGAUAACUACUGGAAACGGUGGCUAAUACCGCAUACUAUCGGAUAACCCAUAUUGGAUUAGCUAGUAGGUGGGGUAAAGGCUCACCUAGGCGACGAUCUCUAGCCUGUCUGAGAGGAUGAUCAGCCACACUGGCACUGAGACACGGCCCAGCCUCCUACGGAUGCAGCAGUGGGUAUUAUUGCACAAUGGGCGAAAGCCUGAUGCAGCCAUGCCGCUUGUAUGAAGAGUGCCUUAGGGUUGUAAAGUACUUUCAGCAGGGAGGCGUUACCCGCGGAAGAAGCAUCGGCUAACUCCGUGCCAGCAGCCGCGGUAAUUC
rnacentral:rRNA from 1 species